GACGGAGGGGGCAAGCGUUAUCCGGAAUUAUUGGGCGUAAAGGGUACGUAGGCGGCUGUUCAAGUCUGGGGUCAAAGGCCACAGCUCAACUGUGGGAAGGCCCUGGAAACUGACCGGCUAGAGUGAGGUAGGGGUUGCGGGAAUUCCCGGUGUAGCGGUGAAAUGCGUAGAGAUCGGGAAGAACACCUGAGGCGGAAGCGCGCAACUGGGCCUCAACUGACGCUGAGGUACGAAAGCUAGGGGAGCGAAUUGG
rnacentral:rRNA from 1 species